rnacentral:rRNA from 1 species
AAUAUUGCACAAUGGGGGAAACCCUGAUGCAGCCAUGCCGCGUGUGUGAAGAAGGCCUUCGGGUUGUAAAGCACUUUCAGUAGGGAGGAAGGUAGUGUAGUUAACACCUGCAUUAUUUGACGUUACCUACAGAAGAAGCACCGGCUAACUCCGUGCCAGCAGCCGCGGUAAUACGGAGGGUGCGAGCGUUAAUCGGAAUUACUGGGCGUAAAGCGCAUGCAGGCGGCCUGUUAAGUCAGAUGUGAAAGCCCGGGGACGUUAACCUACGGUAAAUUGCUAUUUAGUAAACUAGGCAGGCUAGAGUCUUGUAGAGGGGGUAGGAAUUUCAGGUGUAGCGGUGAAAUGCGUAGAGAUCUGAAGGAAUACCAGUGGCGAAGGCGGCCCCCUGGACAAAGACUGACGCUCAGAUGCGAAAGCGUGGGGAGCAAACAGGAUUAGAUACCCUGGUAG